ACGGGUGAGUAACGCGUAUGCGACCUGCCGUCGCAGGGGGAGUAAUCGGGAGAAAUCCCGUCUAAUACCGCGUAACGCCGCGGGGCUGCAUGGCCCUGCGGCCAAAGGGAGCGAUUCCGGCAACGGAUGGGCAUGCGUGACAUUAGCUUGUUGGCGGGGUAACGGCCCACCAAGGCGACGAUCAGUAGCCGGCCUGAGAGGGUGAACGGCCACAUUGGGACUGAGACACGGCCCAGACUCCUACGGGAGGCAGCAG
rnacentral:rRNA from 1 species